GCUCAGAACGAACGCUGGCGGCGUGGAUUAGGCAUGCAAGUCGAACGAGAAAUGCUCCUUCGGGAGCUGAGUACAGUGGCAAACGGGUGAGUAACGCGUGGGAAACCUGCCCUUCAGUUGGGGACAACACCUCUAACGGGGUGCUAAUACCGAAUACCAUCUUCUGGUCGCAUGGCCGGAUGAUGAAAGGCGGCCUCUGCUUGCAAGCUGUCGCUGAAGGAUGGUCCCGCGUCCCAUUAGUUAGUUGGUGAGGUAACGGCUCACCAAGGCGACGAUGGGUAGCCGGCCUUAGCGGGUGACCGGCCACACUGGGACUGAGAUACGGCCCAGACUCCUACGGGAGGCAGCAGUCGAGAGGCAUCCACAAUGGGGGAAACCCUGAUGGUGCGACGCCGCGUGGACGAUGACGGCCUUCGGGUUGUAAAGUCCUUUCAGCAGGGACGACAGAUCGGCGGGUGAAUAAUCCGUUGGUUCAGACGGUACCUGCAGAAGAAGCUCCGGCUAACUCCGUGCCAGCAGCCGCGGUAAGACGGGGGGAGCGAGCGUUGUUCGGAAUUACUGGGCGUAAAGGGCGUCUAGGCGGAUGUGUAAGUCAGAUGUGAAAUCCCCCGGCUUAACCGGGGAACUGCAUCUGAUACUGCAUGUCUUGAGUGCGGAAGAGGACAGCGGAAUUCCUGGUGUA
rnacentral:rRNA from 1 species